rfam:Desulfobulbaceae bacterium A2 Ga0073110_1478, whole genome shotgun sequence.
AGAACCCCGCCCCGGAAGGCAGGCCAGCCGCCGGGUAGCGAGUCCUUGGAGGCUUUAUGGUAACAUGGAGCUUUAAGCGUAGGACAGCGAGCAGAUAGGCCGUAAACCGAAAGGUUGAAGGGAUUGAGCCCCGAAAUCGUCGCGUCGGGAUGGACGACACUCUGUAAGCAGUGGAAGUCAACACAGGCACCGCCGCUCAAGGCAAGGAGGUGCCUGCAUCCCCGGGGUCAGAGACCA